rnacentral:sRNA from 1 species
AGGACCGGUUCUUCCACAUUCUGAUAACUACCAUCCUGAUGAUA